GCGGUUGGGGCCAGCUCUCUUGGCACGAAAAGGUGGACAAGUCCUAUUUUCAAGAGAAGAUAACCUUUAACACUUUUGAAGGAUCUAAAACUUGUAUACCUGCAGACAUCAAUAAGGAUGAAGAAUUUGUAGAAGAGUUUAAUAGAUUAAAAACUUUUGCUAAUUUUCCAAGUAGUAGUCCUGUUUCAGCAUCAACACUGGCACGAGCAGGUUUUCUUUAUACUGGUGAAGGAGAUACCGUGCGGUGCUUUAGUUGUCAUGCAGCAGUAGAUAGAUGGCAAUAUGGAGACUCAGCAGUUGGAAGACACAGGAAAGUAUCCCCAAAUUGCAGAUUUAUCAACAGCUUUUAUUUUGAAAAUAGUGCCAUGCAACCUACAAAUCCUGGUGUCCAGAAUGGUCAGUACAAAGUUGAAAACUAUCUGGGAAACAGAAAUUAUUUUGCUUUAGACAGGCCAUCUGAAACUCAUGCAGACUAUCUUCUGAGAACUGGACAGGUUGUAGAUAUAUCAGACACCAUUUACCCAAGGAACCCUGCUAUGUGUAGUGAAGAAGCUAGAUUAAAGUCAUUUCAGAAUUGGCCAGACUAUGCCCACUUAACCCCAAGAGAGUUAGCUAGUGCUGGACUCUACUACACAGGUAUUGAUGAUCAAGUGCAGUGCUUUUGUUGUGGUGGAAAACUGAAAAAUUGGGAACCUUGUGAUUGUGCCUGGUCAGAGCAUAGGCGACACUUUCCUAAUUGCUUCUUUGUUUUGGGCCGGAGCAUUAAUAUUCAAAGUGAAUCUGAUGUUGUGAGUUCUGAUAGGAAUUUCCCAAAUUCAACAAAUCUUCCAAGAAAUCCAUCCAUGGCAGAUUAUGAAGCACGGAUCAUUACUUUUGGGACGUGGAUAUACUCAGUUAACAAGGAGCAGCUUGCAAGAGCUGGAUUUUAUGCUUUAGGUGAAGGUGAUAAAGUAAAGUGCUUUCACUGUGGAAGAGGGCUAACUGAUUGGAAGCCCAGUGAAGACCCUUGGGAACAACAUGCUAAGUGGUAUCCAGGGUGUAAAUAUCUGUUAGAAGAGAAAGGACAAGAAUAUAUAAACAAUAUUCAUUUAACCCAUUCACUUGAGGAGUCUCUGGUAACAACUGCUGAAAAAACACCGUCACUAACUAAAAGAAUUGAUGAUACUAUCUUUCAAAUCCUAUGGUACAAGAAGCUAUACGAAUGGGAUUCAGUUUCAAGGACAUUAAGAAAAUAAUGGAAGAAAAAAUUCAGACAUCUGGGAGCAACUAUAAAUCAUUUGAAGUUCUGAUUGCAGAUCUAGUGAGUGCUCAGAAAGACAGUACACAAGAUGAAUCAAGUCAGACUUCAUUGCAUAAAGAGAUUAGUACUGAAGAGCAGCUAAGGCGCCUGCAAGAGGAGAAGUUUUGCAAAAUCUGUAUGGAUAGAAAUAUUGCUGUAGUUUUUAUUCCUUGUGGACAUCUGGUCACUUGUAAACAAUGUGCUGAAGCAGUUGACAAAUGCCCCAUGUGCUACACAAUCAUUACUUUCAAGCAAAAAAUUUUUAUGUCUUGAUCUGACUCCACAGUAGAUAGGCUUAACAAAUGGAGCAUUCUGUAGAAACGUGGAGAUUAGAGUUAAUCUCCCCAAUCACAUAAUUUGUUAUGCGUGAAAAAGGAAUGAACUGUUCCACAUUGGUGGAAAGAUAGAGAUUAUUUUUAGAUGUUUAUCUUUGUGUUUUAGGAUUCUGUCCAUUUUCUUUUAAAAUUAUAAACAUGUAUGAAUGAUUUUUAAAAAGUAAUUUUGCCAUCUUUGAAAGGGUAUUUAAUGAUAGAAUACCAUCUAGCCAACGUGUACUACAUGGAAAGAUGUCAAAGAUAUAUUAAGUAUAAAAUGCAAGUGGCAAAACACUAUGUAUAGUAUGAGCCAAAUCAAGGUGUGUGUGUUUUGUAUAUGUAUAGAACAAAAGAUUUGGAAAGAUAUGCACCAAAUUGUUAAAUGUGGUUUCUCUUGGUGGGGGGUGAGGGGUAGGUCCCAGAGGGGGUUUGCCAGGGGCCUUUCACUUUUUUUUUUUAUUUUGUUCUGUUUCAGUUUUUUAUAAGUAUGUAUUACUUUGGUAAUCAGAAAUUUUAGAAAGUAUUUUACUGAUUUAAAGGCUUAGGCAUGUUCAAACGCCUGCAAAACUACUUAUUGCUCAAUUUAAGUUUUUCUAAUCCUAGAAGGCAGGGCAGUUAACCUUUUUGGUGCCAAUGUGAAAUUUAAAUGUUUUUAUGUUUUUCCUGCCUUGUGGAUGAGAAAUAUUUCUGAGUGGUAGUUUUCUGACAGGUAGACCAUGUCUUCUUAUCUUGUUUCAAAAUAAAUAUUUCUGAUUUUGUAAAAUGAAAUAUAAAAUAUGUCUCAGAUCUUCCAAUUAAUUAGUAAGAAUUCAUCCUUAAUCCUUGCUAGUUUAAGCCUGCCUAAGUCACUUUACUAAAAGAUCUUUGUUAACCCAGUAUUUUAAACAUCUGUCAGCUUACGUAGGUAAAAGUAGAAGCAUGUUUGUACACUGCUUGUAGUUAUAGUGACAGCUUUCCAUGUUGAGAUUCUCAUAUUAUCUUGUAUCUUAAAGUUUCAUGUGAGUUUUUACUGUUAGGAUGAUUAAGAUGUAUAUAGGACAAAAUGUUAAGUUUUUCCUUUACCUAAAUUGUUUUCUUGACUAGUAAUAGUAGUAGAUAUUUCUGAAAUGUUCUCUCAAGAUCCUUAAAACCUCUUGAAAAUUAUAAAAUAUUGGCAAGACAAGAAUAGUUGUUUAAAUAUUUUUUAAAAACAUUUGAAUAAGAGUCAAUAUGGGUAAAAAAAUGUAAGUUUGAAAAUGCUUCAAGGAACAUCCAGGGUUUACAAGACUCUCACAGCAGACCUAUUGUAGAGGUGAGUGAGGCAUGUUACUGCAGAGAAAAGUUUGAUAGUGAAACCAUAUUUUUGUUGUAUUUUCUAAGAGAAGGAGUAUUGUUAUGUUCUCCUAACCUCUGUUGAUUACUACUUUAAGUGAUAUUCAUUUAAAGCAUUGCAAAUUUAAAUGAGAAUUUUUAAAAUUAAAUAAUGACUGCCCUGUUUCUGUUUUAUUAUGUAAAUCCUCAGUUCUUCACCUUUGCAGUGUCUUCCACUU